UUAAAAGAAGACGAUUCCAAAAGAAAGUCAAAAUGGGGAAUAGGAUGCCUUAAAGGUAAAUAAGAAAGAUCCUAAAUGAAAAAGAAAAUACCUGCCUUUCUAUUGAGAUGUGAUUUGUCUAGGGCUAGCUGAACUAAGCCUCAUCAGAGGAGGAAAGAUUUGCUGCUUUCAUACUUCUUCUUCCUGCUACGCCCUUGCUUUCCCACCGCUCCGUGGGGGGCCUUUUCUUCUCACUUGAGAGAUGCGAUUUGAAAGAAGAGAAGAGGUUCUAUCAG
rnacentral:lncRNA from 1 species